UACCUCAUUAACUAAAGGGAGCUUCUAUGACUCCUACUUCUUUAGCACUCAAUAAGCUUAGUUAAGUUACUUUUAAAGCAGUUUUGCAUUCUUAUGUUGAUUUCUAAAAGAGAAAACUUUGACACAUUGAAAGAAACUGAUCUUAGGUUCCUGUGUUAGAUGUUCUUUGUUAACCAAUAUGUUAUGUACUGUGUAGGUCUACAACAGAACCAUCGUUGGAGGGAUAAAGUCAGCGGUUGAGGACGGGUAGACGUAGACGCAUGCACCGCUGCUGGGAUUGGUCGUCACGACCAUCCCGUCGCCACCAGAAAAGCAAGACUGGUCUGUGCAACUAUAGAUCUGGUAGUACAGGUUCAUUACGACGCCGGCUCGCCCAAGAAGAUCCCGGCUUUGGUAGACACCAUUUCGGGCUUUGAAUCUCACCAUCGUCAGGAUUAGCACCCACUGUGAGCAGGAAAAGAAGAAUAAGAGUUAAGAUCAGUGAAGGAAAAAAUGUGUCAGUAUCCAUCAAGAAUCAGGUUCCAAACCUUCAGCUUUAGCUAGGCUUAACUUGAUUUGUCUGUAGACCGUCUACUAAUAGAGCACAGCAGCCAUAAUGGUUUAAGCCUGAACAAGUGUUAUUAGUUCUCCAUGCUUAGCCAUUGGUGUGUAUUUGUAAUGUCACAUUGCAAAACAAUCUGGUUAAUGUCACAAGUGUUAUUAGUUCUCCAUGCUUAUAAAGUUUUUACAGCCACAA